GUAAUAUUUUUUUCCCCCCAAAUAUGCAUUAAUCUUUUAUGUCUGGUCCCACUGCUUUCUGUCCACCAAAAGCUCACAGCAACUUUCAUGAAAGGAAACCAACUUU